CGCGUAGGCGGUAAUAUAAGUCAAAUGUGAAAUCCUCCAGCUUAACUGGAGAACAGCAUCUGAAACUGUGUAACUAGAGUACAGGAGAGGGAAACGGAAUUCCCGGUGUAGAGGUGAAAUUCGUAGAUAUCGGGAGGAACACCAGUGGCGAAGGCGGUUUUCCUGGCCUGAUACUGACGCUGAGGCGCGAAAGCGUGGGGAGCAAACA
rnacentral:rRNA from 1 species